GUCAACUUGCUAAUUCUUGGGGUUGGAAGUGGUAAUAAAAAUCAAUUACAUGAACUUUUAAAAAUUGCUCUUUCAUAAAUUAUUUACAUUAAGAAAAAGUAUUUAACAUAAUCCAAUAAUAUUUAUCUUUUAUAUUCUCUAUCUUCAAUAAAAGCAUGAUAAUAUCCUACGUCUUAUAACCUUCACCGAUAAAAUCACAUCUAAUAUUAUAUUCACUCAUUCUCUUUUUUUAUUAAAAUUUAAAAUGUCUCUUAUAUUUCUUUUUCCCAUACUUUUUUACUUUUAUUUAUUUAUUAUCACUAAAAAUACUAAUAAUUUAUUUUUAAAUUUUAAUAAAGUUAACAAUUUAUUUUAUCUUAUAGAUUACUAUCAAUAUAAUAUCUAUUUUAUUUUAAUUAAUUAUUGUCUUAAUUUGAGAAUCUUAUUUUUAAAUAUUCAUUUUUUUCUCCUUCUCAUGCUUUUUUUUU
rnacentral:lncRNA from 1 species